rnacentral:tRNA from 1 species
GCCGGGGUGGCGGAAUGGCAGACGCGACGGACUUAAAAUCCGUUGCCAGCAAUGGCGUGUGGGUUCGAGUCCCACCCUCGGCACCA